GACGAACGCUGGCGGCGUGCUUAACACAUGUAAGUCGAACGGAAAGGCCCUGCUUUUGUGGGGUGCUCGAGUGGCGAACGGGUGAGUAACACGUGAGUAACCUGCCCUUGACUUUGGGAUAACUUCAGGAAACUGGGGCUAAUACCGGAUAGGAGCUCCUGCUGCAUGGUGGGGGUUGGAAAGUUUCGGCGGUUGGGGAUGGACUCGCGGCUUAUCAGCUUGUUGGUGGGGUAGUGGCUUACCAAGGCUUUGACGGGUAGCCGGCCUGAGAGGGUGACCGGCCACAUUGGGACUGAGAUACGGCACAGACUACUACGGGAGGCAGCAGUGGGGAAUAUUGCACAAUGGGCGGAAGCCUGAUGCAGCAACGCCGCGUGCGGGAUGACGGCCUUCGGGUUGUAAACCGCUGUCGCCUGUGACGAAGCGUGAGUGACGGUAAUGGGUAAAGAAGCACCGGCUAACUACGUG
rnacentral:rRNA from 1 species